ACUUCCUCUUUGUAUAUCCCUUGGCCGUCUUCUACGGCAGCCUGUGGCACAUCCCUACAAGUAAUCAGCACCAAUGGACUGAAGCAGAGAAGCUAGGGAGUCUUGGCUUCCUUGGUCUUUGACACGUCUAUCGUGGAGACGCUGCUCUGCCUGUCAGGUGUUUGAUGGAGUGGUGAAGGAAAGGCCGAGGGAGUGAGGGAGUAUCGUCAAAGGAAGCUGCGCAAGAGACAAGGAAAGGAGCGACGACCUUACUAGUGAUACAAAGCACAGGACGUCCGUCAUGGGGCAGGGCAGCAGUCAGUUCACCGAGGCCGAGUUGGAGGAGUACCAGGAGUUGACAUACUUCACCAAGAAGGAAAUUUUAUAUGCUCACAAACGCUUCAAGAAUUUGGCAUUAGAGAAAGUUGGCCACAACCGCAAUGCAAAGCUUCCUAUGGACAAGUUGCUCUCACUCCCUGAACUGCGAGCCAAUCCUUUUGGUGAACGCAUGUGUCUCAUCUUCUCUUCAACCAAGGAUGGAGACUGUACCUUUGAAGACUUCCUGGAUAUGAUGUCGGUGUUCAGUGAGGCUGCCCCAAAAUCAGUGAAGGCAGAAUAUGCUUUCAGGAUUUUUGUUUCUUUGCCAGACUUUGACGGUGAUGAUUAUUUGGGCCGAGGUGACCUAGAGGAGACCAUCACCAAGCUUGUUAGUCCACAGCGUUUCUCCUCAGAAGACAUGGAGCACAGGACAAGGAGUCACACUCUAGGAGGAAAGAUAAGGAAGGAAGGGGUGAUGUGCAGCCAUGCUCACCUAGCAGUUGGCUGGCAAAGCUUUAGUCAACCGAGUGUUGGAAGAGGCGGAUCUGGAUGAUGAUGGAAUGUUGGCUUUUGCAGAAUUUGAACAUGUCAUUUCAAAAUCUCCUGACUUUGCUAAUUCAUUUAGGAUACGUCUCUGAGAAAAUCAAACUUGAAGCAGCAGCAUCUUGGAUUGAACACUUAGUUUUGUGCGAGAGCUUCCAGCCAUUAUCUUAGCCACCACCAGCUCCCCAUCAGAUUGUGCAAGAAUCUCACUUGUGAAAAAGUCAGGCAACAGGAGUGGUGGAUGUACGUGUCUUUUACACAAGAAUCUCACUUUCAUGAACGUGUUUUAAGAAUCAUAGUAUAAUGACAUUUAUCAGGUCUGAGAUUAACUACUCUGCACUAUAUUUACCUCAUGCACAUGGAUGGGAUAGCAGUGAUUUUUGAGAUUUAAGAAAAUAUUUUGUGUGCAUGUGUGUAGUUUAUAUAUUAAAGAAUAAAUCAGGCCCAUGGAGGCUUGUCUAUUCUUGAUGUCCAACAAGAUUCAUUAAUAAUACAUGUUUUGACCUUCCUUUACCAUAAGAUGUGUCCUUUACCAUAAGAUGUGGCCUCUCUUCUGCUGUGGGUUGGUAAAGCCUAUAUGGACAUUCUACAAUAUAGUUGUUACAUCAAUGCUUUAUGUGAAGCAGUUGAUGCUGAUAUGGUAGUUAUGACCCUCCUUAGUCUCAUCUUUAGACUUCUAGGAAUAAAGAGAUGAAAUGCAGAGUGGGUGAGAUGCAUUGUAUUAAAAUCACUUUUCUGUUUGUAUUGGCUCUUUGGUAACCAUUCUUAAUUUAAUUGUGUGGCAUUUAAAAUUAGCCAGUUUAAAAAAGUGUACCACCUUAAUGGAAUUUUAUUAUUUGGAUUUGUAGUAAAUGGUGCAGGACUUAAUGAUAUCAUUAAGACAAAUAUAUGGUCAACAGCAUUUUAUAUUCUGUGUGAACAAAUAAUAUAGGUAAGUGACAGAAAACAAUACUUGAAAUGAGAACUCUCCUAAUUUGAUGAAUCAAGCCCCCAACAAGUAUUCCCAAGAGGACUGUGUGUGUGUGUGUGUGUGUGUGUGUGUGUGUGUGUGUGUGUGUGUGUGUGUGUGUGUGUGUGUGUGUGUGUGUGUGUGUGUGUAUAUACAGUUUCAUGGUUUGUGAGACUUGAAAAGCUGUAUUUAAUUUUCCUAUUGCCAACUGAAUUAAUAUGAAUUAAGAGUUGGGAAAACUAAAUUAAAAACUCACCUGAACAAAGUUUAUUUACUAGAUGAAUACCUUCCCCUUGUAGGGUGUAAACAGCCUUACCAUGAGAAGUGUGUAAGUAGAAGACAACUGUGAAGGAAACCAUAGAUAGUGUAAACAAAUAUUUCUUGGAAUGCUAAGAAAUAACAUGAAAAAUGCCAAAAUAUUAAAUCUAAAGUAUUUAUCACAAAGAAAUACAGAUCUACAUCUCCAUAUACUAUAUCUGGCUGACAAAUACCACACCCACACACUCCUACUUUAUAGUUAUUAUGUAUUGUUCAUAGUUGAGAGUUUCUUAGCUUAUUGUAGAUUACUGAAUUUUGUCUAAAAACCAAAGAAUUGAAUGUUUUAUAUAUAUGUUCUAAAUAAAACCAAAAGAUUUCAUAAUUGUCA